rnacentral:rRNA from 1 species
UAGGGAAUCUUCCACAAUGGACGCAAGUCUGAUGGAGCAACGCCGCGUGAGUGAAGAAGGUUUUCGGACCGUAAAGCUCUGUUGUUGGUGAAGAAGGAUAGAGGUAGUAACUGGCCUUUAUUUGACGGUAAUCAACCAGAAAGUCACGGCUAACUACGUGCCAGCAGCCGCGGUAAUACGUAGGUGGCAAGCGUUGUCCGGAUUUAUUGGGCGUAAAGCGAGCGCAGGCGGAAGAAUAAGUCUGAUGUGAAAGCCCUCGGCUUAACCGAGGAAUUGCAUCGGAAACUGUUUUCUUAAGUGCAGAAGAGGAGAGUAGAACUCCAUGUGUAGCGGUGGAAUGCGUAGAUAUAUGGAAGAAUACCAGUGGCGAAGGCGGCUCUCUGGUCUGCAACUGACGCUGAGGCUCGAAAGCAUGGUAGCGAACAGGAUUAGAUACCCUGGUAGUCCAUGCCGUAAACGAUGAGUGCUAAGUGUUGGGAGGCUUCCGCCUCUCAGUGCUGCAGCUAACGCAUUAAGCACUCCGCCUGGGGGAGUACGACCGCAAGGUUGAAAC